rnacentral:rRNA from 1 species
UAAGACAGAGGUGCCGAGCGUUAGGCGGAAUCACUGGGCUUAAAGCGUGUGUAGGCGGGUUUCUAAGUAUCUUGUGAAAUCCCACGGCUCAACCGUGGAACUGCUGGAUAUACUGGGAAUCUUGAGCCACUUAGGGGCAACCGGAACAAAUGGUGGAGCGGUGAAAUGCGUAGAUAUCAUUUGGAACGCCAAUGGUGAAAACAGGUUGCUGGGAGUGUGCUGACGCUGAGACACGAAAGCCAGGGGAGCGAACGGGAUUAGAUACCCCGGUAGUCCUGGCCGUAAACGAUGUCGACUAGAUCGUGGUUGCUCUGACGUAAUCACGGUCGAAGCAAAAGUGCUAAGUCGACCGCCUGGGAAGUACGGUCGCAAGGCUA